rnacentral:misc_RNA from 1 species
CUAUCAAACAGAGCAAGGUCAAGGUCCACAAUACUUGGAGGAGAGUUGCAGGCUACCCCUGCAUUGUUGUACAUUAUGUCCAGUUGGUUGAAUUUAGAAAUGGCAAGAUCUACAGCAUUGGAUAUAUCAGAUUCUUUAGUUACAUCACAGGCAAUGAAUGCAGCGUUGGAUCCGAGUUCUUUUGCAGUGUCUUGGCCAAGUUGGCGUUGCAUAUCAGCAAUAACAACUUUGGCACCAUUGUUAACGAAUUUGGUUGCGGUUGCCUUCCCAAUACCACUUGCUGCUCCAGUGAUCAGUGCUACCUUCCCCUCUAAUUUCCUUCCAUGCUGGGUAGAAAAUCUCUUGGUGAAGAUCUCAGCAAGUGAAGUUCUUGAAAUGGAAACACCUUUACUAAAUCCAAAUUUGAACAUAC